UACGUAGGGUGCGAGCGUUGUCCGGAAUUAUUGGGCGUAAAGAGCUCGUAGGCGGUCUGUCGCGUCGGUCGUGAAAACCUGCAGCUUAACUGUGGGCGUGCGGUCGAUACGGGCAUGACUGGAGUUCGGCAGGGGAGACUGGAAUUCCUGGUGUAGCGGUGAAAUGCGCAGAUAUCAGGAGGAACACCGGUGGCGAAGGCGGUUCUCUGGGCAUUACCUGACGCUGAGGAGCGAAAGUGUGGGGAGCGAACAGG
rnacentral:rRNA from 1 species